GUUCGAGACCAGCCUGGCCAAUAUGGCGAAACCCCAGCUCUACUAAAAAUACAAAACUUAGCCAGGCAUGGUGGUGCAUGCCUGUAAUCCUAGCUACUCAGGAGGCUGUGACAGGAGAAUCACUUGAACCCAGGAGACAGAGGUCGCAAUGAGCCAAGAUUGUGCCACUGCACUCUAGCCUGGGCAACAGAGCGAGACUCCAUCUCAAAAAUAAAUAAAUUAAUUAAUUAAAUAAAAUAGUUUGAAAAAGUCCAUUUUCAAUCAAGACUCCAUGUUCAAUAUUAUUCUAAGUAUCUAGACAAUUCUAUGCCUUCCACAUCAAUGUCAUGAGAUUUGCUGCUUUUGUAUCUGUUUAUAUGGUGAUCUGGAACUAUUUCUGCUCUCAUAUAUUGAAAAUUGUUUAAGACACAUGCAUUAUUUUCCUCUAAUUGAAGGCACAAGCAGAAAUGAUUAAAGAGUAAAUAUUUGCGGUGAGCCCAGGUCUGAAUGGCGUACAGUUUCUUUGGUAUGCAGAUUCUUUUGCAGUUCAGUAUCCUUCAGUCAGUAAACUUGUACUGAAUGCCUCCUGUGGUCUAGGACAGAUCAAUUCAGGUACAGAGAGACAAAGCAACGUUAGUGAACCUGAGAGAAGGCAUAGCGAGGGUGGGGCUCCACAUGUUGUUUGCUUUUGCUGAAUUUUAGUGUGCACUGAGUGACAGGUAAAGAGCUGGAGAGGUAGGAAAGAGACAGAGAUGAUGGGGCUGUGAGAAAUGGAGAAGAUGCCUCCCUGGAGGCCCUUAGACACUGAGUGGGUAUUUUUGGGGGGUAAGUGGGCAUAAGGGAAGAGAGAGACUUAAGGAACUGCUAUCCUUGGAAAUUCUGCCUAAUGGCCUGAUAAUCAAAACAUUUAUCCAACUCACUAUGGGCUCCAAAAGAGAUUUUGUAUAAAGAGACAAGAAAUUUAUCUUCUGAUUUGAUUAUCUAUAAAAUAAAAUAAGAGUGGAUGUUCAUAUAUUUCUGCUUGGUAUAGAGACAGCUCCUAUAGAGAAUAAACUUAAUGAAAAAGAAUGCUUUUUUGUAAAAGAAAUCAUCUUUUACUUUUAUUGUCUAAGUAAUAACAGGUAGUAUUUUUUGAGCAUCUACUAUGUGCCACCAUUGAUGUUAAGGGCUUUAAAAUAUUAUUGUCACUAUAAUUAUGAUUAUUAGCAACUAAUGUUUAUUCAAUAUUUACUAUGUGCCAGGAUCUGUUCUAAGAGUUUCAUAUGUUUUAACUCAUCUAAUUUUAACAAUCUUAUGAGGUAUGCACUUUAUUUUCCUUGUUUUCAAAUGUUGAGACUAAGGUACAGAGAGGUCAAGUAACUUGCCCAAAGUCACACAACUAUCAAGGAGCAGAGCUGAGGUUUGAUGUCACAGAGGGGUCAAGAUACAGUCAUAUUUAUUAAACAGCCUACUUCAUGCUUUGAACAGAAGAGUUUUAUCAGUUUUAAAUGUUUCUUCAUUUCUAUACCUUCUUUUAUCUGAGGAGCUUAAGCCAUUUUGUAGAGGCAUUAAGUAUUGCCUCAGUCUUAAUAUGUGAGACAAGGUGUGAGGAAUAUAGAGAUUCAUAAAAUAAUCCCCAUCUUCAAGGAACUCACAGUCAGGAAGAACAGAGCCUGCAACACAAAUAAUUGCAAUAUAGUAGAAGUGCCAAUAGGAGCUCUAUGAAGGGCGUGAAACAGGAAAGGCUACAUAGAGGAGAUGGCAGACACUCUGUGGAUUGUGACCUGUUGGUGGGCCAUGAAAUCAAUUUGGGGGUUUGAGAGCAUCAUUCUUUUAAUAAAACAGAAGAGAAUCAUCUGCAAUAAGGAACCCAUGGAUGAAUACCAUCUGGUCCUGGUGAUUUACUGCACAGAGUCCCUCAAGUUGCUCCAUACCUUUCUCCUGAGAGACUGAAGAAUCUCUGUCAAGGCCGUUCUCUGCUUUGCCAUAAAAUGUGUCCUUGGAACAAGAAUUUCCCCAUUGUCUUCUUCAAUAAAUACUGAUUCAAAGUAUUCA
rnacentral:lncRNA from 1 species